UUUAUCUCCUUUCUCUUUAUUCUACUUUCUUCUCCUAUCACAUCUUAUCUUUAUUUAUUUAUUAAUUGUGUAUCUUCUUCUUGGUAUAUUCUUUCUUUUUAUUCUACUUUCUUUUCUUCCCCUGUCACCACCUUGUCAACACCACACCUUAGCUUUAUUUAUUUAUUUAUUUAUUGUGUAUUAAUGUGUUUAUUUUAUCUCCUUUCUCUUUAUUUUACUUUCUUCUCCUAUCACCACAUCUUAUCUUUAUUUAUUUAUUUAUUGUGUAUCUCCUUCUUGGUAUAUUCUUUCUCUAUUCUACUUUUUUUCCUCUUCACAUUAUCAACACCACAUCAUAUUUUUGUGUUAUUUUGGGGGGUGAGGCGCGUCCUUGCCCUUUACAUUUACCCAAUAAUUCCCACGACCUGUCACACCCGCUAACUCAUCCUUCUGACGCCGCCUCCUGCAUCGCCACAACUGAUAGUCUGAUACACCAACCCAACCAGCCCGUCAGCCAGUCACCCUUCAAAACUCACGCCACUCAACCUAUUGCUCUCACGUCUCCCCAUCUCCCCACACCCCCAGACACACCGCCACCACCACCACGCCUGUGCAUCACUACCCCAACCGAAGCCCUCAUCAGCUCCUUGUAGUAUGUAGGUCCUGACGCCAUGGUGGUACUGGCAACACUGGCUGAUGCACCGUGGUCCGUGUGUGUGAGGCGGCCUUGGCGUUGGCGGUGACUACGGUGGCGUGGGAAGGAUAGUAAACAUCCCUCUGCUUGAUGCCCUCCAUUGGGUGCAUCCUUAUUACGGAAAUAUGUUAUGCAGUCAUGGGCUAAUGCUGAAGGACGAGUCUGGAGGUGCCAGCGGGAGUAGUGAAGGUCAAGGUCUCUACACCUUGGUGAAGGUCGUGGCCACGUCUCGUCGGAUUCGUAGUCUCCAGGGAGGCAAGGUGUGGUCUGACACGAGGGUCUGCGAGAGAGCGGUGCAGCCAAUCAGCUGCAGCCUUACCAACCUGCCUAGGCACCAGGAAUCUAGCUUCAGUAAACCUGGUAUAGUCAAGACCAAGACUCGCCAGUGGCAAACAGACCUUCAGAGUGAGCAGGUCACCUUCCACAUAGUGCUGUUGUUACAACAUGGUAUACAUGUGUACUGUAUGGUCUAUAUAUCACAAUGAGGUGCUGGUCCAGUAGCAUAUGGUAGACAUGUAUUAGAAGUCAUGAAACAGCCACAAAACAUCUUAGUAAAAUUGGUAAGGGUGAGGAUAUUAUUAUUAUUUUUUUUUUCCAUAAUAUAGCGUUUGAAAAUGGGGUGUGUCUCUGACACCGGCAGAUAUGGUAAAUUCUUGUUUCUCACCUCUUGCCCAAAAUUCGAUUUCCCCAAUCAAUCCUCUAAAAAAAUAAAAAAUAAAAUAAAAAAAAUAAAAAAAAUGAUCAUACUGAUGUGCAUGGACACAACCCUGACAGCCCCAGCCCCAACGCCCCAGCCAGCGCUAGACUGCUACACUUGCCCCCAUCCCCGUGUGGUACUGAGGAGUACAGUGUGCCACAGACAACAGCCCCUAACACCAGCUGAUGGCUAUAACACCACAGCUGGCAGCUACCACAACCAGCUGAUACACAUAAAUGCCAGCAGGCAGCCACCACCACUAGCUGAGUCAUCAACACCAUCCAUUCUUGAGCUGUGUGCAGUACAGUGGUGAUAAAAAUGUCGAACAAUGCUACUAUGAAAAUUAGCAAAAUAAUAACAAACUGUAUAAAUACUUCUUUCACAGGGAGAACCGUUAUGACAGUAAUGAAGGCAAUACUCUUGCUGCUUGACCCUUUCUUAAUAUUUUUUAUAAUAAUAAUAAUAAUAAUAAUAAUAAUAAUAACUAUCAUAAAUAUCAGUCAAUGAUGAUAAAUUCCCUGCAAUACAUACAUUCUACCUAAAGCCUUGGAUUUACACUAUGUUGAGCAAAGUAUCCUGUGGGAUCUUGUAAAGUCAGAGAGUAGGAUGAAGAUCUCAGCAAGUUCGGGACAGACGUAACACCUCACACUACCUCGGCCUGCCUGUCUGUCUGGGCCUCCUGGAGCAUCACAACUCUCCUCACGGGUCUGGGGGAGUGGGUGCAGGAGGACGCUUGUGUAAGGUUCCUCAUCAGGCGUACAUCACUGAGGAGGCUGCACUUCUUGACCUUGCAGGAGGUGGCCCAGAGUGAGGAGUAGGAGGAGGAGGUGUUGGAAGAGGAGACGGAAGUUUCGGAUUCCCAUUGCAGCGGGACACUUGGAAGAGAAGUAUUGUCUUGCCUCCCACUGUGGAUUCAAGGCUUAGGUGCCACACAACUGACUGUUUCUGGACAGCACACAUGAGGUGUGUGGUGUCUGGCUUAACAUGAACAUCAGAACCAGAAGAAGCCUGGCAACCAAGUUUGUGGGAAGUUCUUGUCUUCUACACCUUACAAUGAGAGCCAGCGAGUGGUGGUGCUGUGUGGCAUGCAGGAUGGGAUGGUUUGUGAGAUGAAAUAAUACUGAACAAUGCAGUCCCUUACCUUAUCAUCCUCUUAUAAAUGUAUUGAUAAGAGCUAACUGGUGAAUAUAAUCAUGUUAAAUAACAAUUCACACUUCACACAUUAGUUUAAACACUCUACAAGAAGUCAUUUCCCAAGUCUGGAAAUAACCAAAAAUGCACAUGAUGCACAAAAAACAAAAACUAUUUUUGAGCAAAGUUGAAUUUCUUAGAAUUUCUGAUUCAUUUACAGCAACAAAAGGAAACGUGAAUCAGAUAAAAAAAUAGCAUGUUGAAUUAAUAGUCCACAUAAUGAAAUCAAUAUAUUUUCUUCAAUAUAAUUUACUCUGAGGACCAAUCUGGUACUCAUCUUAGAUACUCUCAAUGGUGAUCAGUUCUUUACAGACGGGCAUCAUCAAAUCUUUACUUAUUACCAUUCUGAUGACGGCAACGCCAACACGUGCCAUUUGCCAUCCUUGGAGGUGUGUCUGCACUCCUUUGAUGGAUACUAGCUUGCCAUGACCAGUGCAGUAUUUACUUGGACUUGUACAAUAAGCAGGAAGAGGAAUCACAACAACACCACACUAUCAAAUGGUCUUAGCAGACCAAACUG